AACGAACGCUGGCGGCAGGCCUAACACAUGCAAGUCGAACGCCCCGCAAGGGGAGUGGCAGACGGGUGAGUAACACGUGGGAACGUACCCUUCGGUUCGGGAUAACUCAGGGAAACUUGAGCUAAUACCGGAUACGUCCGAGAGGAGAAAGAUUUAUCGCCGAGGGAUCGGCCCGCGUCUGAUUAGCUUGUUGGUGAGGUAACGGCUCACCAAGGCGACGAUCAGUAGCUGGUCUGAGAGGAUGAUCAGCCACAUUGGGACUGAGACACGGCCCAAACUCCUACGGGAGGCAGCAGUGGGGAAUAUUGGACAAUGGGCGCAAGCCUGAUCCAGCCAUGCCGCGUGAGUGAUGAAGGCCCUAGGGUUGUAAAGCUCUUUUACCC
rnacentral:rRNA from 1 species